rnacentral:lncRNA from 1 species
AAAGAGCAAUGGCAUUUUACAUCAUGUCCUGAAAGUCAUCAGUCCAUAACCACUAAGAAGUGAUGCAAAAUGCUGGUAAUCUCUGCCCAGCAAGCAAUCCGAGUCCAUGCGGAAAGCUCCUGAAAAACAUCAUCUGUGUAAGGAAGAAUUCCUUCCUACAUCUCGGUUACCAGGAGCAGGAAGCAGAGAAACUGUCUGCUGUCUUCUUCUGCCUUGGGUCUCAGUUACAGAAUGGUCUGCUGGCAACAUAUUUUGGUAACUGCUAAAAAAAAAAAAGUUCAAACCUGUUUUGGAUUUUGUCUCUGAAAAAAAAAAAAAUAAAAAAGGAGUUCUUUUCCA